rnacentral:rRNA from 1 species
UACAGAGGGGGCAAGCGUUGUUCGGAAUUACUGGGCGUAAAGGGCGCGUAGGCGGCCUGCUAAGUCGAACGUGAAAGCCCCGGGCUCAACCUGGGAAUUGCAUCCGAAACUGCGUUGCUGGAGUACGGAAGAGGAAGGCGGAAUUCCCGGUGUAGCGGUGAAAUGCGUAGAUAUCGGGAGGAACAUCAGUGGCGAAGGCGGCCUUCUGGUCCAGUACUGACA